CCUACGGGAGGCAGCAGUGAGGAAUAUUGGUCAAUGGACGAGAGUCUGAACCAGCCAAGUAGCGUGAAGGAUGACUGCCCUAUGGGUUGUAAACUUCUUUUAUAUGGGAAUAAAAUGUUCCACGUGUGGGAUUUUGUAUGUACCAUAUGAAUAAGGAUCGGCUAACUCCGUGCCAGCAGCCGCGGUAAUACGGAGGAUCCGAGCGUUAUCCGGAUUUAUUGGGUUUAAAGGGAGCGUAGGUGGAUUGGUAUGUCAGUUGUGAAAGUUUGCGGCUCAACCGUAAAAUUGCAGUUGAAACUAGCAGUCUGGAGUAAAGGAGAGGUGGGCGGAAUUCGUGGUGUAGCGGUGAAAUGCUUAGAUAUCACGAAGAACUCCGAUUGCGAAGGCAGCUCACUGGACUGCAACUGACACUGAGGCUCGAAAGUGUGGGUAUCAAACAGGAUUAGAUACCCGAGUAGUC
rnacentral:rRNA from 1 species